UUAAAUGUAAAAUUUUUAUUUAAUUAUUAUUAGUUAUGGUCUCUAAAAUUAAAAAUUUUGGCGGUAUUUUAGUCUUUUUAGAGGAACCUGUUCUUUAAAUGAUAAUCCACGAUUUUAUUAACUUUUAUUAUUAAUUUGUAUAUCGUCGUAAUUAAAUAUUUUUUUAGAAUUAAAAUAUUUAAAAUUUUUAUAAUAAAUUAAUCAGAUCAAGGUGCAGUUUAUAUAGAAGUAGAAAUGGGUUACAAUAAAUUUAUUUUUGAAUUUUAAAUAUUAGUAUUUAAAUGAAAUUGGAUUUAAAUGUAAUAUUAAUUAAUUAGUUCAUAUGAAUUUGGCUCUAAGAUAUGU
rnacentral:rRNA from 1 species